rnacentral:misc_RNA from 1 species
UCCGGUUUGUCACCGGCAGUCUCUCAUGAGUCCCCGGCAUUACCCGCUGGCAACAUGAGACGGGGGUUCCGCUCGUUGCGGGACUUAACCCAGCACCUCACGACACGAGCUGACGACAGCCAUGCAGCACCUGUCUCCGGUCCAGCCGAACUGAAGGAAUCCAUCUCUGGAAUCCGCGACCGGGAUGUCAAGGGCUGGUAAGGUUCUUCGCGUUGCUUCGAAUUGAACCACAUGCUCCACCGCUUGUGCGGGCCCCCGUCAAUUCCUUUGAGUUUUAAUCUUGCGACCGUACUCCCCAGGCGGGAUGCUUAAUGCGUUAGCUGCGCCACUGAAGGGUAAACCCACCAACGGCUAGCAUCCAUCGUUUACGGCGUGGACUAC